rnacentral:rRNA from 1 species
UACAGAGGAUGCAAGCGUUAUCCGGAAUGAUUGGGCGUAAAGAGCUCGUAGGCGGUUUGUCGCGUCUGCCGUGAAAGUCCGGGGCUCAACUCCGGAUCUGCGGUGGGUACGGGCAGACUAGAGUGAUGUAGGGGAGACUGGAAUUCCUGGUGUAGCGGUGAAAUGCGCAGAUAUCAGGAGGAACACCGAUGGCGAAGGCAGGUCUCUGGGCAUUAACUGACGCUGAGGAGCGAAAGCAUGGGGAGCGAACAGG